GACAGAGGGUGCAAACGUUGUUCGGAAUUACUGGGCGUAAAGCGCGUGUAGGCGGCUCUGCAAGUCAGGUGUGAAAUCCCACGGCUCAACCAUGGAAGUGCACUUGAAACUGCAGGGCUAGAGUCCUGGAGAGGAAGGUGGAAUGCUUGGUGUAGAGGUGAAAUUCGUAGAUAUUGGGAGGAACACCCGUGGCGAAGGCGGCUCUCUGGGACGGUACUGACGCUGAGACGCGAAAGCGUGGGGAGCGAACAGG
rnacentral:rRNA from 1 species